UACAGAGGUCCCAAGCGUUGUUCGGAUUCAUUGGGCGUAAAGGGUGCGUAGGUGGCGCUGUAAGUCGGGUGUGAAAUUUCGAGGCUUAACCUCGAAACUGCAUUCGAUACUGCGGUGCUUGAGGACUGGAGAGGAGACUGGAAUUCAUGGUGUAGCAGUGAAAUGCGUAGAGAUCAUGAGGAAGACCAGUGGCGAAGGCGGGUCUCUGGACAGUUCCUGACACCGAGGCACGAAGGCCAGGGGAGCAAACGGG
rnacentral:rRNA from 1 species